rnacentral:rRNA from 1 species
UACAGAGGUCUCAAGCGUUGUUCGGAUUCAUUGGGCGUAAAGGGUGCGUAGGCGGCGCGGUAAGUCGGGUGUGAAAUCUUGGAGCUUAACUCCGAAACUGCAUUCGAUACUGCCGUGCUUGAGGACUGGAGAGGAGACUGGAAUUUACGGUGUAGCAGUGAAAUGCGUAGAUAAUCGUAAGGAAGACCAGUGGCGAAGGCGAAGUCUCUGGACAGUUACUGGACACUGAGGCACGAAGGCCAGGGAGACAAACGGGG